GUUCCAGUCGUCUAGUGGCCCAGGACGUCUGCCUUUCACGCAGAAAAUCGCGGGUUCGAGUCCCGCCUGGAACACCA
rnacentral:tRNA from 1 species